CAGUCGCCGCGGGAAUACGAAGGGUGCAAGCGUUAAUCGGAAUAACUGGGCGUAAAGCGUGCGUAGGUGGUGGUUUAAGUCCGUUGUGAAAGCCCUGGGCUCAACCUGGGAAUUGCAGUGGAUACUGGCAAGCUAGAGUGUGUCAGAGGAUGGUGGAAUUCCCGGUGUAGCGGUGAAAUGCGUAGAGAUCGGGAGGAACAUCAGUGGCGAAGGCGGCCAUCUGGGACAACACUGACGCUGAGGCACGAAAGCGUGGGGAGCAAACAGGAUUAGAUACCCGCGUAGUCCCUGUCUCUUAUAC
rnacentral:rRNA from 1 species